ensembl:lncRNA
AUGUAUAUGUAUAUGUAUAUGUAUAUGUAUAUACAGUACAGGUCAAAAGUUUGGAAACAUUACUAUUUUUAAUGUUUUUGAAAGAAGUUUCUUCUGCUCAUCAAGCCUGCAUUUAUUUGAUCAAAAAUACAGAAAUAAAAUGUAAUAUUGUGAUAUAUUAUUACAACUUAAAAUAAUAGUUUUUACAUUUAUUAUACUUUAAAUUAUCAUUUAUUUCUGUGAUGCAAAGCUGAAUUUUUAGGAUCAUUAUCACAUGAUCCUUUAGAAAUCAUUCUAAUAUGAUGAUUCAUUAUCAAAGUUGGAAACAGUUCUGCUGCUUAAUAUUUUUUCAGAACAUGUGAUACUUUUUUAGGAUACUUUGAUGAAUAAAAAAAAGAAGCUAUUUUUUUUAAAAUAUAAAUAUUUUGUAAUAACAAUAUACACUACUGGUCAGUAAUUUGGGGUCAGUAAUUGUUUUUUUUUUUGUUUUUUUUUUAAUAAAAUCAAUACUUUUAUUCAGCAAGGAUAUGUUAAAUUGAUAAAAAGUGAUAGUAAAGAAAAUAUAUUAUUAGAAUAAAUGCAGUUGUUUUUUUAACCUUUUUAUUCAUCAAAUAUAUUAGACAGCAGAACUGUUUCCAACACUCAUAAUAAAUCAGAAUAUUAGAAUGAUUUCUAAAUGAUCAUGUGAUAGACUGGAUGUUACAUGUGACACUGAAGGCUGGAGUAAUGAUGCUGAAAAUUCAGCUUUGCAUCACAGGAAUAUUUUUUUUUUUAAAGUAUAUUCAAAUAGAAAACUAUUAUUUUAAGUUGUAAUAAUAUUUCACAAUAUUACUGUUUUUUCUGUAUUUUUUUGAUCAAAUAAAUGCAGGCUUGAUGAGCAGAAGAAACUUCUUUAAAAAACAUUAAAAAAUAGUAAUGUUUCCAAACUUUGGACCUGUACUGUAUAUGUAUGUAUAUAUAUAUAUAUAUAUAUAUAUAUAUAUAUAUAUAUAUAUAUAUAUAUAUAUAUAUAUAUAUAUAUAUAUAUAUAUAUAUAUAUUUUUCAGAGUUAGCUGAGGAGUACCCAGUAAAAAAAAAAGGAUCUAAUGUGAUUUUGCCUGGGGCACCUUGCUUUCCAUGUCUUUCAACACCACAACUUCAGCCACAUCAGUCAGUUUCUGCUAACUGGCAGAAUCAAGGAAGUGUGAUUGAUCCACAAUCUCUUCGAGAUGUUCCAUGUCUUUCAACACCACAACUGCAGCCACAUCAGUCAGUUUCUGCCAACUGGCAGAAUCAAGGAAAUGUGAUUAAUCCACAAUCUCUUCAGGAUGAAAUCUACAAGUUAUUUGAGAAUUUAGAAAGAAGAAUCAUGUUGAAACUGGACCAAAUCCAAAAACAACAUUACAUCAGUGGUUGA